rnacentral:rRNA from 1 species
GAUGAACGCUGGCGGCGUGCCUAAUACAUGCAAGUCGAGCGAACGGACGAGAAGCUUGCUUCUCUGAUGUUAGCGGCGGACGGGUGAGUAACACGUGGAUAACCUACCUAUAAGACUGGGAUAACUUCGGGAAACCGGAGCUAAUACCGGAUAAUAUUUUGAACCGCAUGGUUCAAAAGUGAAAGACGGUCUUGCUGUCACUUAUAGAAGGAUCCGCGCUGCAUUAGCUAGUUGGUAAGGUAACGGCUUACCAAGGCAACGAUGCAUAGCCGACCUGAGAGGGGGAUCGGCCACACUGGAACUGAGACCCGGUCCAGACCCCAACGGGGGGCAGCAGUAGGGAAUCUUCCGCAAGGGGCGAAAGCCUGACGGAGAAACCCCGGGUGAGUGAUGAAGGUCUUCGGAUCGUAAAACUCUUUUAUUAGGGAAAAACAUAUGUGAAAGUAACUGUGCAAAUUUGGACGGUACCUAAUCAAAAAGCCACGGCUAACUACGU